rnacentral:rRNA from 1 species
AGAAGUUUCCCACAAGCGUAAAAUGAAAUUUAGAAAGCACACAACUCCUUUUUAACAAAUUCAUCUCCCUAGAGAAGUACCACAAGGGAAAGCUGAAAUAAAAUGAAAAUUAAAAAGAGAAAAAGAGUUUAUCGUACCUUUUGUAUUAUGGUUUGACAAGACUUUUACGGAAAGCCUUCCAAAGCCCGAAACCUAGAGAGCUAACCCUCUUCCCCUUUAAAAGAGAAUUCCCCUACUGUUGCAAGAGUAGGGAAAGAGGAAGGGUUAGAAAUGAAAUGUUAAACGCGCUAGGUGAUAGCUGGUUUCUCAAGAAAGGAGUCUUAGCUCCCCCUCCUCAUCACGACCCCUCAGUUUCCAAUAAGAAAUACAAGUCAACAGAACAAGGAAGGAAAGAAAGAGGAAGACAAGUUCCUCUUUCAAGAAGGAAACAACCAGAAGACAAGGAGAGGACAAUAAAUUUAUAAAGGUUCAACAUCUAAGUAGGCCUAAUAGCUGCCAUCAUUUAGGAAAGCGUUAAAGCUCAUAUAAUGAAAGAACCAAAAAUUCAUGUCUCUUAACCAAACCUGUCCAAGCAAUAUUGAGAGAAGAAUAAUGUUAAAACUAGUAAGCACACAAACGGAGCUCUCAUAAGCAGUGGAAAAUUAAUUAACGAAACCAAGGACGCUCCUAAAACCCAAGGAAAAGGAGCCUUUAUCAUCCCCCCAACGCAGGAGCUUAACUAGAAAAACGGAAAAAAGGAAAGGAAGGAACUAGGCAAAUCCAAAGGAUGACUGUUUACCAAAAACAUAGCCCCUUGAGCCUCUCUAUAAGGGGUCAGGCCUGCCCAGUGGGAGAGACCCUCCUAAACGGCCGCGGUAUCUUGACCGUGCAAAGGUAGCAUAAUCACUUGUCUCUUAAAUGGGGACCCGUAUGAAUGGCUCUUCAUCCUCUACCUGUCUCCCUUUUCCCCCGCUCAAACUUCUAUUUACGUGAAGAAGCGUAAUUCAGAAAGAAAGACGAGAAGACCCUGUCGAGCUUCAGCCUACCCUGUAAACCAACCAUACUCCUCCUAGGAGAAAGCCCUUUUGCAGGUCAAGCUUUGGUUGGGGCAACCAUGGAGAAAAGACAUCCUCCAGUUCUAUAGGAAGAAAACUCCUCCCCCUUUUACCACCUAGAGAACCAAGAUUCUUGGGAAACGGAAAAAGUUACCGCAGGGAUAACAGCGUUAUCUUUUCUGAGAGCCCUUAUUGACGAAAAGGAUUGCGACCUCGAUGUUGGAUUGGGGUAACCAAAGGGUGCAGCAGCUCUUUUAGGUUGGACUGUUCGUCCAUUAAUUCCCUACAUGAUCUGAGUUCAGACCGACGUGAGUCAGGUCAGCUUCUAUCUUCUAUUUAUUCUUCCUAGUACGAAAGGACCGGAAAAAGGCCUUAAAUAGUUUUCACAAAAAGGCAAAAACAACAAAAAAAAAAAAAAAAAAAGAACCUCUACCAAAAAUACAAUGAGAU